CAGACUGUUCAGGGUUGGUGUCUUUGGGGUGCUGGUUUCAUUGAGCUCUGCAGAUACAAGGAUCUGUGCAGACAGAUGAAGUAAAGGAGAGAUUUUCAGGUUAAUGAACUUGGACCACGGGCUCUGAAGAGCACAACGCAAGAUACUACAAGAAGAGGGUGGUGAAGUGUGAGUAACUACCAGGAUACUUAUUCUGAGGGGGAGGACCAAAAUCUUCUAAGCAGACAAAAAACAGGUUGAUGAAAGACAAGGCAAAAUGAAGCCAAAACAGAGACCCAUGGUCCCAGGGUCACAAAAUGAUUCAGUGUAUAACAUGAGCCAUCCAAAACAGUUACCAGAGUUACCACCCAUACCUGCUUCUUCUUCAGCUACACCUUCAGAUUUGUAUCAGGUAUGUGUGCUCUCCCCUUUUGCAAAUUACAUAUGCUAGAGUGAC
rnacentral:lncRNA from 1 species